rnacentral:rRNA from 1 species
AACGAACGCUGGCGGCAUGCCUAACACAUGCAAGUCGAACGAAGCCUUCGGGCUUAGUGGCGCACGGGUGCGUAACGCGUGGGAAUCUGCCCUUAGGUACGGAAUAACUCAGGGAAACUUGUGCUAAUACCGUAUGACGUCGAAAGACCAAAGAUUUGUCGCCUAGGGAUGAGCCCGCGUUGGAUUAGCUAGUUGGUGAGGUAAAGGCUCACCAAGGCGACGAUCCAUAGCUGGUCUGAGAGGAUGGUCAGCCACACUGGGACUGAGACACGGCCCAGACUCCUACGGGAGGCAGCAGUGGGGAAUAUUGGACAAUGGGCGAAAGCCUGAUCCAGCAAUGCCGCGUGAGUGAAGAAGGCCUUCGGGUUGUAAAGCUCUUUUACCCGGGAAGAUAAUGACUGUACCGGGAGAAUAAGCCCCGGCUAACUCCGUGCCAGCCGCCGCGGUAAGAC